AUCCGACCUGAACUCAGACGUGGUU
rnacentral:rRNA from 1 species